UUCAUUAAAAAAAUUAAUUACUGAUUGAAGAGAUGUCAUCAAACUUUACGAGAAGAUUAAGAAGAGGUUUUUGAAUAUGGUAGCCUGUGAUAUUUCGAUCUAUAAAGGGAAACCGAGACAGUGAAGGAAGGAUGUUUCCAAGAAUUUCAAUAUCGAAAAAAUUUUAUUUUGAUUUAAUCGGUUGCGAAGAAGCGAUGAUGUCGGAAUCGUUUUGAAAACGUUUAAAAGAAGCAAAAUAAUAACAACCAUGAAAUCGACGGUUGCUUGUAUUUUUGAAGAAACUCGAAGAUUAAGAUGACCUGGCCCGGAAUCAAAUCAGUAAAGUUGAAAUGCGCCAAAAUCAAACUUAAAACGGGGCGCGCAAAAAAUUGGGACGGGAGAAGAAUUAAAAACGUAACUGGAUAAUCAAAAUUAAAUCAAAAUUUAAACUCGAUUUCUCCGAAAUAAUAAAAAAGGAAUAAAUAAAAGA